AAAACUGGUAACUUAAUCAAACGGGUUCAUUCAGACACUGCAGUGAAAAGCCACUGAAAUGCAUCAUAAAAAGCAAUUAGAAAUCACGUCAGAAAAACCAGUAGCAACAAUAAAAAUAGUGGCCUGACAUUACACAGAACCAGCCACAGGUGACAUCAAAAAGCCAUUUACCCAAUCAGCAGCACAAAUAUAAAUGAUCCAAAUCCUGACGCAGCAGCGCACAGCCGACAGAGAUCCAACUGCACACAACAACGGACCUGACAGCUUGGCGGGCACACCCAGUACCUGUUUACACUAACGAGCCCAACAAUGCUGUGAAACGGAAGUGAAGCAGCAGUGGGAGAAGCAGAUGGAGGCAGCCAAAGCAGUCCUGCUACAACAUCUGGAACAAUGGUGAAAAGAGCUGGCCUGAAGUCCCUGUGCUUUCAGAAGCUAAUCCAGAAGCUGUGGAGGAAGCUUUGUGGACACACAAAGCUUUGGUCUUGUGCCAGGGGUAUUUCUGCUGCAGGCUGACUGGGGCCAACAUCAUCUGUGAUUCAGACAGAAACCACUGGUGUGACCCAGCCCAGGGACGGAAUGCUGGAAAAAAAAAAAAAAGCAAAUUACUCUUUUGAGGAAAAAAUAUCCAAUAUUCUGGAAACCUGCAAAAGUAACUAGGCUGCAUUUCUAAGAAAUUCAUAAAAUAAAAUGCACCGAUUCUCAGAA